rnacentral:tRNA from 1 species
GGUGGCUCAGUGGUAGAGUGCUUGCCUUGCAUGCAGGAGGCGCUGGGUUUGAUUCCUCAGCACCA